GCCCGCUCCUCCUCGCCGUGCUGUGCGGUCGGCUCCCGUGGGGUCCGGGCCUCCCGUGGAUGGCGCCGCUUACGUACGGGACGGUGCCGGAGGGCCGGGAUCGGCGGCAGCGGGCAGGUGAUUGCUGUGAAGGAUUCCCCUGUGCUCAGUGUAUGCAGUGCCAGCACAAGAGCCUCAAGCUGUUAUUUUUUGUAAAGCAUGAAAGCAGUUCUGUGGAAAAUGUGAGAAAUACCUUAAAGAAAAAGAAGGCUUAAUUCAACAGCAAGCAGAAAGAUCUAAGAGCGAGCAAAGUUGACUGCUAGGCACCUGCAGAAUUAAGCUACUGCCUGCUACAGUUAUUGCUGUUAGAGUACUUUGAUCUGAAGUGCCUGCCAAGCACACGCAGCAUAGUUUACUCAGCCAGGCUGGUUGUACUUGUGAGUGGACGGAUGCUUAAAGGAGGUGGAAGCUCUGCAGCUCUGACAGAUGGCCCAGGAAACCUUACUGUCAUCAAAGCUGUGGUAAUGUACAUCAACAGAAGGGGAAUAGACAAAGGAAAUGUGCUGUUACAAAGAGCCAGCUUUGGUUUAUACUGUAUCUGUGAGUAUCCUGUACAGUGCUUUUGUAGCUGUGUUACUGAGACCAGAAGUCUUUUUUCCUACCUAAACUCAUAAAUGAACUUGAAUUUGAUUACACGCUGGAGGAGGAAUUUGUGUUGUUUUUUCUUUUAAACAGCAGUAUUAAAAAUGCGUAGAGUUUGUAUAAUAGCAAUCAUCACUGAGAUAGUGGAAUAAAUAGUUGUGGGUUGAUCCAGUGUUGCUUUUUGUUCUACAUGUACAGGAUGUUUUUCAAAUGAAGAUUGGUGUCUGAUAGAUUCCAGCAAUGUCUGUUCCUUCUGUUCCUUUCUUUAUUCAGACACUUAAUCGCUCUCAAUCUGUCAGGCUUCCCCUGCCUCAUUUCUGAUCUUCGCCAUGCUGGACUUUAUGCCUUCACUGUGUGUGUUUGGGUCUCUUUAUUAGCUCUGUUUGUUCUACUAGCUGUAUGCAAACAUAUCGGGAGGUAACGAAAAGAUCUUUGAAAAUAGCUUGGAGAUAUUAACCUGAGGCAAGAAGGUGAAUUUUACUGCCUUAAAUUAGGCUUCAGAGGAUGUCCUUAAAUCAGAAGCUUGGGCUUUGUUGUAGCUUGAUAUUUACUGCUUGAACUUUCUUUAUCUCUAGGACCAGAGGGAGAGCUUUUCUUCACACCUUGCUGUGUAUGAAAUCUACACUCGAACUGCACUCGAGACCGGCAGAAAUGUAGCUGAGCAGAGCCUCCAGCAGCUCAGCCCUUUCCUUCAAACGAUGAAGAUGGCUUUAAUAUUCGUAAGUCAGAAAUCUCGUAUCAAAACUUAAUUCUGGUAUGGACACACCUCGCUGUGGAAGAUGUGGCAGGUGUGGUCUUUGAGUCACCACAGGUGUGGGACACGUGAAGUAAUCUGGACGUGUUUCAAUUUCUGUAUUUUUCCCUGUUUCUCUGAUCAUUUCUCUGUGUUGCUGCAUCUGGCAGGGAUUGCUGUCCUGGCCCAGAGCUCUGUUCCCUCAUGGGCUGCACUCGUUUUGCUGUCCCACCAUUUGGGUUGCACAGGCCAUCCACGUCCAGUGUUCCCAUCCUCCUGGGCCUCCACACACAUGGCAGUUAGCAAGAAGGAGCAAAGUUGUUCAACCUUGUCCUGAAGUUAUCAAUCUGUUCAUCCAACCUGUGCCUUGGUCACAGUGGCAACGUGCCGUUAGCAAUGCCAUCACUGCACUCAGGUCACAAGCUCUGACAGCAGGCACUGGGGAUAAUUACAGGUGAGGCCGUUCUUCACAUCCAGGCACACAGAUGGUAUCUUUUUCCAAAUGGACCGUGGUGGUAGGCGGGUAAAUCCAGUCGUGCAGGAUCUGCAAAAUAAAAUUAUGUACUACGUACAUAGUUCUCCAGAGCGGUGGUGAUCUGAGGUGGGGCUCCGUUUCUCAUAACUGUUUUUAAAACUGGCAAUAUCAGUAAUUGUUCUGUUGUGGGUUGAAUAAUUAAAUCUUGUUCACCGUUGCUGAACAGAAUUUGAUUUAUCCUUGAUAAUCUGCAUCCAUUACUCCUCUCGUGACAUGAGUUUUCUUCCUCCAAAACCCAAGGGAACCUUUUUCUUUCCCUGUUUUUGCCAGAAGCUCCAAUUGGCACGUGCCCCAUUUACAGACAUGUUUAACUCUGUUUCUGCUUUUUGCAUGGGCCCUAUGUCUGAGGCCCUUUGAAGAGCCUUUGUUGCUAAUUCAAAGGCAACCUGCUGUUUGUUUCCCUCUCCAACUCUUCCUUGUCACUUUGUAUAUAAACGGGGUUAAAAUUUGUCCUAGGUAUGGAACGUGCAGUCUCCAAAAACCAAACAGCCCAAUACACUGCUGUGCCUCAUUCAUAUUUUAGGGUACUGCAAAGUCUAGAAUGUUGUGUCGGGUUUUGGGUAGUAUUCCCCAAUGCCCAAAAUGCCUCUGAGUUCCUAAAAAUGUCGCUGUUUGAAUUUCAGUAGGAUGAAUUUCCCAGCCUUUCUGUUUCAUCUGAUCUACAACCAAUUCCAGCAUUUAUUGCACCCCUUCCUCGGUUUCCCUGAGUCAGGACGUCAUCUACGUAAUGAACUGUUUGCACGUGAGGAGGCAGUUUGGUGUCAUGCAGAUGUUCAGCCACAGUUCUGUGGCAGAUGGUUGGGCUGUGCAGCCGUCCCUGAGGCCAUCUACAGACAGGAUCUUGUCACCUCUGCCACGGGAAGGCGUUCCUCCGCAGUCAGGAUCGUGAAGAAGCUAGCAUUAGCUAAAUCAAUUGCAGCAUGCCCUGCUCUGGAAUGGUUCUGAGCUUUUUCUGUUAAAGUAACACUUCCUGCUGCAGCCGCUGUGAGAGGCGGGGUGAGCUUGUUUAAUUCCUCCCACAACCCACCGCUUUUUGACAGGCCAUGUUGGAUUGUUCCGAGCUGUAGUAGUUGACUUCAAAACUCCUGCACCCAAUAAAUCAUUAAUUGUCCUUGAUAUCUCUUCAUGCUCCCCCUCCCCCCAGGUCCUGUACUGUUUCACUGUCACUACUUCAGUUGCAGCAGGAAUCUGCACAGCAGGCAUUGUUACUUUUCCCGCUGAAAUUGUUGGAGCACGAAUGCAAUUCCUUAUUCCAAAUUGGGGCUGAGCACUGGGGAGAUUCAGUGUUAGUCAUUUUAGAAUGCCCAUCCCUGCGAUAUAUUUUGGGGUGGGGACAGUCAUCACAGGAUGCAGUCAUUGUGGGAGGUUUCCUAUUCUCAUUUCUAUUUGUGUUUGUACAGCUUCAGUUUGUUUCCCUCCCAACCCUAUAAUAAUUACCAGAUGUCCUUCACGUUUCUUGGGGUUCCCAUGUGUUAAGGAGGCCUCUGUUCCAGGGUCAUUUAAGGCUCUUACAGUUUGCGAGGACCUGUUUUUCCAAAAUAUUUGGAGCUCCCUCAGAGCAGGAAUUCAGGAAUUGGAAAGCCAUCCAUCUUAUUGUGAGGCAUCCUGUCUUGUAAUAAAGCUGUAAACACUUCUUUUCAAGAAAUCCUAUUUUCACUGCUUUUCUGCUCUUCCCUCUUGUCCAUUCUCCCCUGCUAUCUCCUGCUUUCCCCUGCCCCAUUGGCUCUGCUCCUCUGUAUCCUUUCUUCUCUUCUGCCCUCUCUGUCUUGCCCUCUCAUUCAUCACACUUCUGUUCUCCUGGCUUACAAUUUCCCUUCAACUUUGUGGUGGGCUGCCAGGGGAUUCUGUUGUCAGCCUGGAGCAAGGACAGCACAGGGAUAGGGAAGGGAAGGAAAGAGGAAGAGGGGCAGGCCAUAGGGAAAAGUGUAGGGGUAGGGGCAGGACGAGUGAUAGGGACGGGGCAGGAGAGAUGGGCAGGAGAUGGAAAAGAGAGGGACGGGCAGUGACAGGAUAAAGAAAAGGGUGAGAGUAGGUGUGACGGUAGGGUCUGGGUAUGGACAGGAACACACACAAGGUGAGGUGGAGGAUCAGGGACAAGACAAGAACAGGAAUGGGCUAAACGGCAUGGGGGCAGAACAGGGCCUGGUCAGGACUACAUCAGAAGCAGGAGAGGGACUCAAAAGGGGCAGGACUGGAGACAGGAACUGCUGGGACUGCUGACACUUUGUGGUUUAAUGGUGACACAUUGCUGGGUUUAAUGGUGGCACAUUGGCACAGCUCUGCUGGGUUUAAUGGUGACACAUUGGCACAGCUCUGCUGGGUUUAAUGGUAGACAUUGGCACAGCUCUGCUGGGUUUAAUGGUGACACAUGGCACAGUUCUGCUGGGUUUAAUGGUAGACAUUGGCACAGCUCUGCUGGGUUUAAUGGUGACACAUUGGCACAGCUCUGCUGGGUUUAAUGGUGACACAUUGGCACAGCUCUGCUGGGUUUAAUGGUGACACAUGGCACAGUUCUGCUGGGUUUAAUGGUAGACAUUGGCACAGCUUGGCUGGGUUUAAUGGUGACACAUUGGCACAGCUCUGCUGGGUUUAAUGGUGACACAUUGGCACAGCUCGGCUGGGUUUGAUAGUAGGCAUUGGCACAGCUCGGCUGGGUUUAAUGGUAGACAUUGGCACAGUUCUGCUGGGUUUAAUGGUGGCACAUUGGCACAGCUUGGCUGGGUUUAAUGGUGACACAUUGGCACAGCUUGGCUGGGUUUAAUGGUGACACAUUGGCACAGCUCUGCUGGGUUUAAUGGUAGACAUUGGCACAGCUCUGCUGGGUUUAAUGGUGGCACAUUGGCACAGCUCUGCUGGGUUUAAUGGUGACACAUUGGCACAGCUUGGCUGGGUUUAAUGGUGACACAUUGGCACAGCUCUGCUGGGUUUAAUGGUAGACAUUGGCACAGCUCAGCUGGGUUUAAUGGUGGCACAUUGGCACAGUUCUGCUUGGUUUAAUGGUGACACAUUGGCACAGCUCUGCUGGGUUUAAUGGUGGCACAUUGGCACAGCUCUGCUGGGUUUGAUGGCGGCACAUGGCACAGCAUGAAAUUUACACACAAAAUUUACUACUCAGUCUCUGGUGCCCCCUCGUGUGGCCCCUAAUUUCUUCCCAGGGGGCACCAGAGACCUGGGAAUAAAUUUCGUUGCAGUUCUGCAUAUUGGCCAUACGAGGGGGCAGCAGGGACAGCGGAAUGAAGUUCCAAUGUGUGGAAACACAGAAAAGAAAUUGGGGGUAAGGGAGACAACGAAGAAAACGACGAAAACUUCGACAAAGCCAGCAAACCUGCACUCAGUGCUUAUGAAU